AAAUUGAAGAGUUUGAUCAUGGCUCAGAUUGAACGCUGGCGGCAGGCCUAACACAUGCAAGUCGAACGGUAACAGGAAGCAGCUUGCUGCUUCGCUGACGAGUGGCGGACGGGUGAGUAAUGUCUGGGAAACUGCCUGAUGGAGGGGGAUAACUACUGGAAACGGUGGCUAAUACCGCAUAACGUCGCAAGACCAAAGAGGGGGACCUUCGGGCCUCUUGCCAUCAGAUGUGCCCAGAUGGGAUUAGCUUGUUGGUGAGGUAACGGCUCACCAAGGCGACGAUCCCUAGCUGGUCUGAGAGGAUGACCAGCCACACUGGAACUGAGACACGGUCCAGACUCCUACGGGAGGCAGCAGUGGGGAAUAUUGCACAAUGGGCGCAAGCCUGAUGCAGCCAUGCCGCGUGUAUGAAGAAGGCCUUCGGGUUGUAAAGUACUUUCAGCGGGGAGGAAGGUGUUGUGGUUAAUAACCGCAGCAAUUGACGUUACCCGCAGAAGAAGCACCGGCUAACUCCGUGCCAGCAGCCGCGGUAAUACGGAGGGUGCAAGCGUUAAUCGGAAUUACUGGGCGUAAAGCGCACGCAGGCGGUCUGUCAAGUCGGAUGUGAAAUCCCCGGGCUCAACCUGGGAACUGCAUUCGAAACUGGCAGGCUUGAGUCUUGUAGAGGGGGGUAGAAUUCCAGGUGUAGCGGUGAAAUGCGUAGAGAUCUGGAGGAAUACCGGUGGCGAAGGCGGCCCCCUGGACAAAGACUGACGCUCAGGUGCGAAAGCGUGGGGAGCAAACAGGAUUAGAUACCCUGGUAGUCCACGCCGUAAACGAUGUCUACUUGGAGGUUGUGCCCUUGAGGCGUGGCUUCCGGAGCUAACGCGUUAAGUAGACCGCCUGGGGAGUACGGCCGCAAGGUUAAAACUCAAAUGAAUUGACGGGGGCCCGCACAAGCGGUGGAGCAUGUGGUUUAAUUCGAUGCAACGCGAAGAACCUUACCUGGUCUUGACAUCCACAGAAGAAUCCAGAGAUGGAUUUGUGCCUUCGGGAACUGUGAGACAGGUGCUGCAUGGCUGUCGUCAGCUCGUGUUGUGAAAUGUUGGGUUAAGUCCCGCAACGAGCGCAACCCUUAUCCUUUGUUGCCAGCGGUUAGGCCGGGAACUCAAAGGAGACUGCCAGUGAUAAACUGGAGGAAGGUGGGGAUGACGUCAAGUCAUCAUGGCCCUUACGACCAGGGCUACACACGUGCUACAAUGGCGCAUACAAAGAGAAGCGACCUCGCGAGAGCAAGCGGACCUCAUAAAGUGCGUCGUAGUCCGGAUUGGAGUCUGCAACUCGACUCCAUGAAGUCGGAAUCGCUAGUAAUCGUGGAUCAGAAUGCCACGGUGAAUACGUUCCCGGGCCUUGUACACACCGCCCGUCACACCAUGGGAGUGGGUUGCAAAAGAAGUAGGUAGCUUAACCUUCGGGAGGGCGCUUACCACUUUGUGAUUCAUGACUGGGGUGAAGUCGUAACAAGGUAACCGUAGGGGAACCUGCGGUUGGAUCACCUCCUUACCUUAAAGAA
rnacentral:rRNA from 17 species